AUGGCGAAAGACCAGGGCCAGUCAGUUUGGGCGUACCUGCCAGAUGAUCUCCUGCUCCUGGUCCUCCGCUGCCUCGCGUCCCUCGCAGACCGCAUCCGAGCAGGCGCCGUCUGCAGGCCAUGGCGCUCCGCCGCCAGCAAGCUCCCACCGCGGCUUCCCUGGGUCGUGUUCGGCAACGGCACGCUCUUCGAGCUGGCCAAUGACAGCGCGCCGCACCCGCACCACCGCCUGCGUCUCCCCGACGACUGCUGGCGCUACAGCGCCGGCGAGAACAUGCUGUUCCUCGUGCACCAGCGCGACGGCAGCUGCUCCCUCUUGAACGCUCUCUCUGGCGCCAGGACCGAUCUACCCGAGCUAGCCGGUCUCCUGCGGACCUACAACGUCCGGCAUCGUCGACUGCGGAACGAGCUCAGCCGCAUCCCCCACAACCUCAACGACCUCAGGCGCAUGCCCCGGAACGAGCUCAGGCGCAUCUUCCGCUCCCAGCAGGACCAAACCGAGCCCCCCAUGAAAGCUAUACGGAAGGUGGUGGUGUCCUCCUCGGCGUCGGACGACGAGCCCAUCGUCGUCGCCGUCCUGAUCGGACGCGAUGUCAUCGUGUCCACUUGCCGACCGGCCGGCGAGAGCAACUCGUUCCUCCUGGGGGCGCUGCGUCACGACGCCGUCGACAUCGCCCUGUUUCAAGGGAAAAUCUACGCCCUCUCCAGGGGCCAUGUCCUCGAGACCCUUGACCUCAGCAAUGGACACCAAAAAGGAUUCAAACUCAAGUACAGCACCGAACUCAUGAUAAAGCACCCAUGGCAAAACCACCACCACCAAGAUUUCCAAGACGGUUUUCCCUUAGUCGAGCUGUAUCUGGUCGAGUCUGGUGGCAAGCUGCUGAUGGUGAAGCGAUGGCUCCGCCGCCCAUGGAUGAGGAUGCCCUCCUCUCCGGAUGCGGACGGUAGAAGAACUUUCCGGUUCGAGGUCUGGGAAGCCGACCUGAACGAACGCCGGUGGAAGAAAUUGGACGGCAGCCUAGAAGACCAGGCGCUCUUUGUUAGCAGACCGUGCUCCAAGUCUUUGCCCGCCGGCAAUGGAGUUCAGGGAGACUGUAUCUACUUUCUCAACAAACUCUACCAGUGGAAGCAGCCGGAGGCACCUCUCGGCGACUCUGGCGUGUACAGCAUUAGAGACAAGGCGUUCACCACCUUGUUGCGUGAGUCGAUGCCAUGGCUGUCGUGGAAGAGCGAGCGGUUUCCGUCAUGGUUUUUUCCU
rnacentral:rRNA from 1 species